rnacentral:snoRNA from 1 species
CUUAUUUGACAAACUUGAAGCAACAAAUGUCUGCUGCUAAGGUUUCCUCUACAAAUGCAAGAAAACAGCAUUCUCACCCCUUCUGUCUGACUGUGGCAGUCAAGAUUGAAUGGAAGAAUAUAGAAAU